rnacentral:rRNA from 1 species
UUGAAUUUAGGUUUUUAUUAUUUUUUAUUGUUUACUUUUAUUGGAGAAUUAUAUUUUUUUUAUUAAUUUUAUUUGAAACAAUUUUUUUAAUUAUAGUUAAUUGUACUGUGAAGGGUGAUUUUAAAAUUUUUAUAAGAAGGUUUAUUUUGCUGUACCUUGUGUAUCAGGGUUGAUUAAUUUAUAAUUGUUGAUUUAAUUUUCUCGAAUUUAAAAGAGCUAUAAGUUAAUUUAUUUUAAUGUUGAAUCAUUAUUUAUAAUUUAUUUAUAGAAAUGAAAUGUUAUUCGUUUUUAAGUAUAUCUGGUUUUUCAAGAAAUGAAUUUAAUUCGUUUAACAUUUAAUGAUAUUAUAAUUUUUUAUUUUUUCAUUAUUGUUUUUAAACCUUUAAGGGGAUUAGCUUUUUAAGGUAUUUUUAUAAUUUAUUUUUAAGAAUUUUUUUGUAGGAUUAGAAUUUUCCAUUGAUUGUAGAAUGUUAUAAUUAGUUGAUUAUUUAAUUUUAUUUUGUUUGUUUUAAUUUUUUUAUUGAAAUUUUUUUUAAAAUUUAAAUUGGUAAUUAAUUAUGAUUAAAUUAGUAUAUUUUAAUGUUUAUUUAAUUUAUUUUUUAAGGUAGGCUUAAGGAACUCGGCAAAUUUUAUUUUCACCUGUUUAUUAAAAACAUGUCUUUUUGAUUAUAAUUUAAGGUCUGACCUGCCCAAUGAUUGUUUAAAUGGCCGCAGUAUUUUGACUGUGCAAAGGUAGCAUAAUCAUUAGUUUCUUUAUUGGAAGCUGGUAUGAAAGGUUGGAUGAGAAAUUAACUGUCUCUGGUUUAUUUUUAUUGAAUUUUAUUUUUAAGUAAAAAAGCUUAAAUUUUUUAGGGGGACGAGAAGACCCUAUAGAGUUUUAUAUUUAAAUUUUUUGUGAAUUGAGGAUUUUUUUGUAUAAAUUUAUUUAUUUUAUUGGGGUGAUAUAAAAAUUGAAUUAACUUUUUAUUAUUAAAACAUUAAUUAAUGAAUUUUUGAUCCUUUAUUUGGAUUAUAAGAUUAAGUUACCUUAGGGAUAACAGCGUAAUUUUCUUGGAAAGUUCUUAUUGAUAAGAAAGUUUGCGACCUCGAUGUUGGAUUAAAAUUUAUGUUUGGUGUAGUAGCUUAACAAUUGGGUCUGUUCGACCUUUAAAAUUUUACAUGAUCUGAGUUUAAACCGGCGUGAGCCAGGUUGGUUUCUAUCUUCUAUUUAUUUUAAUGUUUUAGUACGAAAGGACCGUUCAUU